GACGAACGCUGGCGGCGUGCUUAACACAUGCAAGUCGAACGGAAAGGCCCUGCUUUUGUGGGGUGCUCGAGUGGCGAACGGGUGAGUAACACGUGAGUAACCUGCCCUUGACUUUGGGAUAACUUCAGGAAACUGGGGCUAAUACCGGAUAGGAGCUCCUGCUGCAUGGUGGGGGUUGGAAAGUUUCGGCGGUUGGGGAUGGACUCGCGGCUUAUCAGCUUGUUGGUGGGGUAGUGGCUUACCAAGGCUUUGACGGGUAGCCGGCCUGAGAGGGUGACCGGCCACAUUGGGACUGCGAUACGGCCCAGACUCCUACGGGAGGCAGCAGUGGGGAAUAUUGCCCAAUGGGCGGGAGCCUGAUGCAGCAACGCCGCGUGCGGGAUGACGGCCUUCGGGUUGUAAACCGCUUUCGCCUGUGACGAAGCGUGAGUGACGGUAAUGGGUAAAGAAGCACCGGCUAACUACGUG
rnacentral:rRNA from 1 species